AGAGCUUGCUCAGAUAUGACGAUGGACAUUGCAAAGAGUGGCGAACGGGUGAGUAACACGUGGGAAACCUACCUCUUAGCAGGGGAUAACAUUUGGAAACAGAUGCUAAUACCGUAUAACAAUGACAACCGCAUGGUUGUUAUUUAAAAGAUGGUUCUGCUAUCACUAAGAGAUGGUCCCGCGGUGCAUUAGCUAGUUGGUAAGGUAAUGGCUUACCAAGGCGAUGAUGCAUAGCCGAGUUGAGAGACUGAUCGGCCACAAUGGGACUGAGACACGGCCCAUACUCCUACGGGAGGCAGCAGUAGGGAAUCUUCCACAAUGGGCGAAAGCCUGAUGGAGCAACGCCGCGUGUGUGAUGAAGGGUUUCGGCUCGUAAAACACUGUUGUAAGAGAAGAAUGACAUUGAGAGUAACUGUUCAAUGUGUGACGGUAUCUUACCAGAAAGGAACGGCUAAAUACGUGCCAGCAGCCGCGGUAAUACGUAUGUUCCAAGCGUUAUCCGGAUUUAUUGGGCGUAAAGCGAGCGCAGACGGUUAUUUAAGUCUGAAGUGAAAGCCCUCAGCUCAACUGAGGAAUUGCUUUGGAAACUGGAUGACUUGAGUGCAGUAGAGGAAAGUGGAACUCCAUGUGUAGCGGUGAAAUGCGUAGAUAUAUGGAAGAACACCAGUGGCGAAGGCGGCUUUCUGGACUGUAACUGACGUUGAGGCUCGAAAGUGUGGGUAGCAAACAGGAUUAGAUACCCUGGUAGUCCACACCGUAAACGAUGAGUGCUAGGUGUUUGAGGGUUUCCGCCCUUAAGUGCCGCAGCUAACGCAUUAAGCACUCCGCCUGGGGAGUACGACCGCAAGGUUGAAACUCAUAGGAAUUGACGGGGACCCGCACAAGCGGUGGAGCAUGUGGUUUAAUUCGAAGCAACG
rnacentral:rRNA from 1 species